UUUUGUACACUUGGCUCACGUGAUCACUAAAGGAGAGCCUCCCGUCGAUCACUGUACUAAGGAAAUGAUCAACAACAGCCGAUGUAGACUCUGAGACAUUGGGCGUAAGACGACAAUAUUCUUACCGUUCUGUACAUUUCCUCCGCCUUCACGACAUCGUACUGCCGAGCUGAAAUACAGAAGACAAUUCAUCAUGCACACGCGCGAACAGACGUACAGAUGGAUGCCCUUUAAGAUAGGUAGCGACGGAAUAAAGGGUGUUGAUGCUGCUCCUCUUUAUAUUGACGCCUUUGGCCACCAAAUCUUUGGCUUACCAUCAAGGGUGGUGGUGGCUUGGUGGGCACCCAGUGAGCAGCAUGAUCCCGCGCCACACACACGAAGCAUUGCUGGUAACCAUGGCAUCAGGAAAUCUAGGUUAGGCGGGGACGUCGAUUCAGGAUGGACCUGGCGUGAAAUACUGUAUCAGCACGCAUGCAUAUUUUUGCUUAUUAUUUUUUUUUUGAUUUCUUAUAAACAGUAACUUGGACAUUUCAAUUUCAAGGAGGCCCAACCACAAAUUGACAUUAAAUGAGAGAUUUUGACGUUCUGAAUGUUUUCUGAUCAACAUUUCUUGUAAAAGUAUUACUUACAAAUUACAGUUGCGUUUCAAGCACCGCUCUAGACCGAUACAUGUACUUGGCUAAGUUCUCGUGCUCUUUACCGAAGUAAAUAAAAAAGCAUACUAUGAAACAUUA
rnacentral:lncRNA from 1 species